AGGACAUGUGGAGCGCUUAGAAGUGAGAAUGCAGGUGUGAGUAGCGACAGCCGGGUGAGAAUCCAGUCCACCGAGUGCCUAAGGUUUCCAGAGGAAGGCGAGUCCGCUCUGGGUUAGUCGGGUCCUAAGCUGAGGCCGACAGGCGUAGGCGAUGGAUAACAGGUUGAUAUUCCUGUACCACCUAUAAUCGUUUUAAUCGAGGGGGGGACGCAGUAGGAUAGGCGAAGCGUGCGAUUGGAUUGCACGGCUAAGCAGU
rnacentral:rRNA from 1 species